GUAAACUAUUCCCCCUUGGACGACUUUACUGACAACUGGCCUUUUAUCUUGCACAUUGUUAUGUGAAGGUCCUAUCACAUAACUACUGAGCUAAAUCUUUGACAGCAAGCUCAAAGGUAGGAAAGCCAGGCAGUUUGCAUGUAGGGGCCCAGGGAAUUUAAAGGCAGGAUGUUUGUUUUUAGGUGAGAAUAGAAGAGCAGAUAAUGGGUAGAAUAGCCUAGCCAUUCUCUAGAGAAAUGAUGCUUCCAAAUUUUGGAAGAAGUUGGAAGGCUUCUGGUUGGUUGGUGAUGAGAAGGAGGGAAAGACAGAUCGUUGAUGUAGCUGCUUGUGUAUAUUGGCUCUGCCUUCUAUUAGGGCUGAGUUGGAGGAUGUGCAGCUUGGGAAGCUAAGGCAUCAAAUCCACCUGGAUUUGUGUCUCCUUUCAUCUCUACUGUUUGUACCUCUGAAAUCAAGCCUCCAAAAUCAAGAUCCUUUGUGUGGAGGGGAAGGGGGGGAGGUUUCUAAAAAUGGACAAGCAUACUUGGAAACUUUUGCAAUAUAAUACUAGUAUUUAUUAGAAUAUUAUUAUGUUUAUGGUGUUUUUACUUGCCUAGAUAGAGUCAGAAAUCCCUGAGCUCAGAAUAAUGCUGAGAUAAGGACUGGUCAGUAAUGAAUAGUUAUCCUUUCGAUUUAAGGAUGGCACAGUAAAGGGAAGUUUUUGAGUGCUGGUAUACUUAAAGUUCCCAACUAUAAAGAAUUAUAUUUUCCUCAUUAAAAAUUUUUGUUGCAUUUGGAGCUGUCUUGGGUACAAUCAUAUGAAGCUGACUUUAAACUGAAAAACAAUUCACAGGCCGCAUUUUUUCAUGUUCUACGUCCAGAACCUUUCUGAACUCCCAUGAGCCUUCGCAACUGAAGUAGUGGUUUGCAUGAUUUGCGCUCAGCAAGCGAAACAAAUGCAAAGCGAGCAAAACCACAGCUGUUGUCGGAAUGUGCCACGCCGCGGGACAGGCACGAGAGUGGGCAGGGAUCCUUCGGGAAGCUGCUUCGCUGUAACUUGGGUUUGAGAAUUGCUCUUACGAGGUCAGCAGUGAGUGUGCGUGUGGUGGAAGUGCGGGGAUGGAAAACAGCCUCUCUAAAAGCUGCAGCGGGCUCUCGGGAAUGUGAAAUAGGGAAGAGAUUACUUAAAUGCAACGGAUAAACGCCACCACAAGGGAGCUUCGGACUCUCGGUAGGCGGCAGGGCCUGCUAAAGAUUAUCGCAUCGCGCCAUCUCCUGAGCAAGCCCUGCACUGCAGCCCAGUGAGCCGAACCGGGAGUCACGGGGCGGAGCUCCGCGCUCAGCGCGCCCUGGGCCUUCCCGUAUCCGACCUGCUGGCACGGAAGGCUCGGGUUAUGAGAGGGGCAGCGCUAAACGGAAGGAAUGUGGAAGUGCCUUCUGUUUAGACUUCAGGCUGAAAUAAAUGCAGGCAUCUGUCCCAGGAAAGAACUACAUACCCCAGAGGACUUUGCAUUUAGAGAGGGGAUAUAAGCUUUCGUGGAUCACCCGACCUGCCCUUUUUCAGCUCUCUCAUCCCCACUUCUUGACCCGAGUGCGCAUCUCACCUCAGCAUUAUGCUCAGCUUUGGACAUUUGACUGAGAUGCAGGUAGUCCAUAAUGUAUGCCCGGAAGAAAGAAGCCCUCCAGCACUGUGUCAGUUAGCAGGAGUUUCUGGUAUUUCUGUGAUUGUGUCAGAUGGCAUUAUUUCCAGAAAAGACCCUUGAUGAACCAUAGAAAUAAAUGCAGAGCAGAAAUAUCUGUUACUGAUGAGAUACGUGCAUACAGAUGAGCUUUGGAAAUGGAAGUUAGCCCUCUUUUUCUCUUUGAUUAAAGUUGAUACUUCCAGUUGUAUACGUUAGUUGUAAGAAUUCUUGAGAUAGCAAAGAGAGAGCUGUUGCAGUGUAUUAAAUCAUUUUGCAAAUACAUUACCAGUGAGAUGUUCUUAGAAAAAAAAUUAAGCUCAGCAAGCCUCCUGAAAUUAAACUUCUGCUGAAAUUAAUUGGCAAUAUCCAACUGGUAUAAUUUAGCAUGUCACAACUGUAAAUUCAGACAGCCACUGUUGGUUUGUUAUUACCAGUUUAAAAGGCUGUUUACAUCAAAUUGUUUUCAGGUCUCAAUUUUAACAUUGAGGAUCAUGAGGUAAUUGUACUCUGCUUUGGGCCAUAUUUCAUGGUACUUGAUACAGUUGGAGUGACAAUGUUUGGCCCUUUGGCUUACUGAGUUUCCUGAAUUAAGUUAUCAGUAGUACCUCUCUUUAGUGAGUAGUUGAUGGCUUUAAUACGUUCUUGAUACAGCCAACAUUUAAGAUUACAUUAUGACUAUCACUUACUAGCACAACUUAAAUGCAAAAUAAAUUAACUUUAAAUAACAAAGUCUAUAGUUGUGCUAGCAUUAAUGUGGAAUUAAUGAACAGAGGAAAAAUAUACCUACUGAAUUCUAUUGCUUUAAAAUACAAGAUUCAACUAAGCACUGAAACAAACAGUAAAGUCUGGUGUGUAAUUGCCUCUAGAUCAUUGAUAGUGGUUGAUUUUUUUUAAAUGCUUUAUUUCAUAAUGUUAUGGUUCAUGUUAAUGAGAAUGUCAUGUGAGAAACCAGUGAGAAAAGAAAAGCUAUUUGACUGUUUUCUUAAUAAAUUCUUCUUGCUGAUCACGUUAGGUGUUUCAUUCCUUCUGAAAUUGCUUUCUGUAUGCUGGAAUAUACCUCAUUGUUUUUCUGCCUGACACAAACCUAAUCAUUCUGGCUUGGAGACCUCUCUCUUAGGUACUAACAGUUAUAUGUUGUAGAAGAGGCAUUUCUGUACUGCGGGGGUAUAUAGUCUUCCUGAAAAUAAUACAUAUUUUAUCUUUUUAAGGACAAUGCAAAUAAUUUAUAUAUUAGGAUCUUUAAUCACAUAGUCUUCACAGAUUUUGUAGAGUGCAAGAAGCGUAAUAAAAAUGUGAAGAUUACUCUGUUUUUUUUUUUCUUAUUGCAGUAUAACAAUUUUCUUUCUGCAAUGAUCUGCAGUUGUCUUCUUACCUACCUCUAAUGUGGAGAAUUUUUUAUCUGAAGUAUUUUAUUUCUGUCCAUACUUUGAAUAAUGCUGCACAGAACUGUUGAUAUUACAUUUUCAGUUUUCUUUUAUUUUUUAGGGUUUUUUUUUUACAUCAUUACAUGCUUCUGAUACAUUAGCUGUGCUCAGAAACUUCUAAUUUACUUUUAAGUUUGUAAAUGUAUAUGUUCUAUAUUGACUAAAUUAUGUGAAUGUAUGUAUUGCACUAACUCAGAACUUAAUGUCUUAAUGAUUCAGGGUAAUGCACUGCAUAUCAUCUCUUCAUUCUGAAUAUUCUUCCUUUAAAAACGAAAGUGAGGAAUAUUAUACUCUGCCCAUCUUAUAAAAUUGAGGAUGCCAGAAACAGUCAGCUACUGGGGAAAACAUUUGGAGAUAUUCCCAGAUUUGUAUUUUAUGUUUAUUCAGAUGAAUUUUUAGUGACCCAUAGAAUAUAAUCAUUCACGGGAACAUCUGCCUGCUUCAAAAUGAUUCCCGGAAGACUGGGUUUUUACAAUAUAAAAGCAUAAAACACACAUUUAUUUCUUCAAAAUAGAACAAUUUGAUACAUAGCUGCAAUUUGUUUUUAAGCAGAGGAAAAGGAGAGAAAGAAUUAAGAAAUUAUUCUUCAGUAUAAUUUUUAUCUAACAUGAAUUACUUGAACAUCCUAUCAUUAGGUAUAAAUGAAUCAUCACCCUUAGUGCUAUUAACUAAGACAAUCACAAGUUUAAUUCCAAGAGCUGUUAAUCUGGUAGAGACGUGGACAAAAUCACAGGUGCUUUUUUUCUGGUUCUUGAAGAAAAUGCAGAAUCCAAACUGCACCAUAAGUACUUGGUCUCUACUGCAGUAGAUCUUAGCAUUCAGUGGACGGACUUUUUUGGACUUAGCCAUUGAUUCUCAGAUUGUCAGUCACAGUCAAGGAAUCUUGUUGCAAUCUCCUUCAUUCACUGACUUUGAUCUAUACUGAGUAACAUGAGCUACUCUGCAACACAGCAAUUACUUUUAAUUGAAUUUUUCUAAAUCACAGCAUCACCUAAGAUGAUAUUAGUACUUGCUACCAUUUGCACUUACCUCCAUUUGCAGUUACCUCCAGAACACUUCAGGUACAUUAAUCUGAAAAAAUGUUUCCCAGACUUGCUAACAUGCACAGAUGAGCUUUCUGGUGUUCAGAGAAUUUUUACUGG